rnacentral:rRNA from 1 species
UGCUAGUUGUGCGGGUUCAGACCCGCAGCGGAAAGCUCAGUAACACGUGGCCAAACUACCCUGUGGAUGGGAACAAUCUCGGGAAACUGAGGCUAAUUCCCAAUAAGGCUCGACCCCUGGAAUGGGUCGAGCUGGAAACGCUACGGCGCCACAGGAUGUGGCUGCGGCCGAUUAGGUAGACGGUGGGGUAACGGCCCACCGUGCCCAUAAUCGGUACGGGUUGUGAGAGCAAGAGCCCGGAGACGGUAUCUGAGACAAGAUACCGGGCCCUACGGGGCGCAGCAGGCGCGAAACCUUUACACUGUACGCAAGUGCGAUAAGGGGACUCCGAGUGUGAAGGCAUAGAGCCUUCACUUUUGUACACCGUAAGGUGGUGUACGAAUAAGGGCUGGGCAAGACCGGUGCCAGCCGCCGCGGUAAUACCGGCAGCCCGAGUGAUGGCCGAUAUUAUUGGGCCUAAAGCGUCCGUAGCUGGCCGGACAAGUCCGUUGGGAAAUCUGCUCGCUUAACGAGCAGGCGUCCAGCGGAAACUGUUCGGCUUGGGACCGGAAGACCUGAGGGGUACGUCCGGGGUAGGAGUGAAAUCCUGUAAUCCUGGACGGACCACCGGUGGCGAAAGCGCCUCAGGAGGACGGAUCCGACAGUGAGGGACGAAAGCUAGGGUCUCGAACCGGAUUAGAUACCCGGGUAGUCCUAGCUGUAAACGAUGCCCGCUA